UAACCAAGGAUUCCCCUAGUAACUGCGAGUGAAGCGGGAUGAGCUCAAAUUUAAAAUCUGGCGGUCUUUGGCCGUCCGAGUUGUAAUCUGGAGAAGCGUUUUCCGCGCCGGACCGUGUACAAGUCUCUUGGAACAGAGCGUCAUAGAGGGUGAGAAUCCCGUCCAUGACACGGACCGCCGGUGCUAUGUGAUACGCUCUCGAAGAGUCGAGUUGUUUGGGAAUGCAGCUCAAAAUGGGUGGUAAAUUCCAUCUAAAGCUAAAUAUUGGCGAGAGACCGAUAGCGAACAAGUACCGUGAGGGAAAGAUGAAAAGCACUUUGGAAAGAGAGUUAAACAGUACGUGAAAUUGUUGAAAGGGAAACGCUUGAAGUCAGUCGCGUCUUGCGGAGCUCAGCCUGGCUCUUUUGCUGGGUGUACUCUCCGUAUGGACGGGUCAACAUCGAUUUUGGUCGGCAGAGAAGGGYCUGGGGAACGUAGCGUCGUUUCGGCGACGUGUUAUAGCCCCAGGUCGUAUGUGUCGGCUGGGAUCGAGGACCGCAGCACGCCCUUGUGGCCGGGGGUUCGCCCCACGUUCGUGCUUAGGAUGUUGGCAUAAUGGCUUUAAGCGACCCGUCUUGAAACACGGACCAAGGAGUCUAACAUGCCUGCGAGUGUUCGGGUGGAAAACCCUUGCGCGUAAUGAAAGUGAAAGUUGGGAUCCUCCGCGAGGGGGUGCACCGACGCCCGGCUCUGACGUUCUCUGACGAUGCUGCGGUAGAGCAUGUAUGUUGGGACCCGAAAGAUGGUGAACUAUGCCUGAAUAGGGUGAAGCCAGAGGAAACUCUGGUGGAGGCUCGUAGCGAUUCUGACGUGCAAAUCGAUCGUCAAAUUUGGG
rnacentral:rRNA from 1 species